rnacentral:lncRNA from 1 species
ACAACUGGCUACAAAUAUCAACAGGCUUUAACAGUCUUCUUUCCUUCAAGUCCAGUUCUUUGAAAGUCCAAAUUUGCUCUGAACUGACUUCAAGCAAGUGCCCACUCUUGAACAAAUUACUGAGGCUGGAGGAUAAAGACACAAAUUGGCCAAACUUGGAUUACCUGCCUUCUGCAUCUUAAAGGAGUCAGUCCCAACUACAAAUUUAAGAGGAUCACAGAAACACCCACAAACUUACGAGGAUCACAGAAAACACCCCUACACCAACUUAUAGCCAAUCUAUUCAACCUGCAUUGUUAGCAGGAGGAGAUUUUUCAGCUUUUGAAGUCUGCAUACCUUCAAGGAAAUUCUUCAAAAACAGCCAAGACAUUUUAAGAUGAGGAGCUACAGAACAGCUGAAAUGUGGAUGUGAUAGAAGAAGAUGAACUAUUUCUGAAUUCAAGAUGGACUCUGAAUUGAGAAGAUAGAUGCCUUGGACCUUAACACUAUUGAGCUAUCAACUAAACUGCAGACCACUUACCUUCAUAUUUAUGAAGUCUUGCUCUGUCGCCCAGGCUGGAGUGCAGUGGCACA